AUUGAACGCUGGCGGCAGGCCUAACACAUGCAAGUCGAGCGAGCGGCGGACGGGGGAGAAAUGUUUGUGAAACUGCCUGAUGGCGGGGGAUAACUACUGGAAACGGUAGCUAAUACCGCAUACCAUCAGAUGUGCCCAGGUGGGAUUAGCUCGUAGGUGGGGUAACGGCUCGCCUAGGAGCCGAGCCCUAGCUGGUAUGAGAGGAUGACCAGGCACACUGGGACUGAGACACGGACCAGACUCCUACGGGAGGCAGCAGUGGGGAAUAUUGCACAAUGGGCGCAAGCCUGAUGCAGCCAUGCCGCGUGUGUGAAGAAGGCCUUCGGGUUGUAAAGCACUUUCAGCGGGGAGGCGUUACCCGCAGAAGAAGCACCGGCUAACUCCGUGCCAGCAGCCGCGGUAAUUC
rnacentral:rRNA from 1 species